UUUUAUCGUCAUGUUUAAAGAGAGCUUCAUCUAAAACCUUCCAAAACAGUUGUACAAUCCUGUGGAGAGAGAUUGAUUGAAGGGAACUUUGCACCCAUGCUGGUCAUAUUAGUCCAGAGGGACAUAAAGGGGCCUCCAUAGCAACAGGAGAAUUGGCAACCAUACUUCACGUAAUCACACGCUGAAGCCUGGCUAAUGGUAAGUGCACGCUUUGGAUUAAUGAUGUGUUUAAAGGUAUUGUGCGCUUAUCCAGCCUUUAAGGUCUCCCAUAAUAAAAUAAUUAAUAAAGAAUCAGGUACCACCAGAGGCAACAGAGCAAUACUGACAAUUUUGUUUUUCCAGGCACUGAUCCCUUAAAAUUAUUAUUUUUCAAAUAACUGUUAAGGAACCUGUAUUUUAAAACAUGUUUUUCAAUGUUAAAACUAUUGAAUUGAUUUAAUUCAAGUAUAAAUAGUUGGAAAGCAAGAAAAAAAAAAGGGAGGACUUUAAACCUGUCAAAAUUUCAGCCAGGAAAGAUAAGAUAGAUGAUUGAAAGGGACUAAAAAUAGCUUCUCCUAGGGAUGACCUUAAUAUAAUCAAUAGGUUACUGACUUUUAAUAAGACAUUUUAUUUAUAUGUACACUUAGCACUCUCAAGACAUUGAUUGAAGGCAACUGUACAAGAAAAAUGAAGUUCCACUUUUUGCAUGGAUGUUAAGAAUAACACUGCUCUAACUCUGCAAAGCAUUUAAAAUUAUGCUUAUGUUUCAAUGAAAUCAGUGGAUUAUGGUUAAGUAUCCUGCGAGGUAGGUUUUAUUGCUGUCUGUCACACCUGGGAAAACUGAAGUAGUGAAAUUAAAUUGCUUAUUCAGGGCCAAAGAAAUCUGUGACAAAACUAGGAUCUAGCCUUUGGAAAUCCCAGCCAAACUG